GACUUUAUAGUUUAUAAAAAUUUUAAAUUGCAAAUUUAAAGAUAUACUUAUAGUAUUGAAGUU
rnacentral:tRNA from 1 species